GAUGAACGCUGGCGGCGUGCCUAAUACAUGCAAGUCGAGCGAACAGACGAGGAGCUUGCUCCUCUGACGUUAGCGGCGGACGGGUGAGUAACACGUGGAUAACCUACCUAUAAGACUGGGAUAACUUCGGGAAACCGGAGCUAAUACCGGAUAAUAUAUUUAACCGCAUGGUUCAAUAGUGAAAGACGGUUUUGCUGUCACUUAUAGAUGGAUCCGCGCCGCAUUAGCUAGUUGGUAAGGUAACGGCUUACCAAGGCAACGAUGCGUAGCCGACCUGAGAGGUUGAUCGGCCACACUGGACCUGAGCAACGGUCAAGACUCCUACGGGAGGAAGCAGUAGGGAAUCUUCCGAAAUGGGCGAAAGCCUGACGGAGCAACGCCGCGUGAGUGAUGAAGGUCUUCGGAUCGUAAAACUCUGUUAUUAGGGAAGAACAAAUGUGUAAGUAACUAUGCACGUCUUGACGGUACCUAAUCAGAAAGCCACGGCUAACUACGUG
rnacentral:rRNA from 1 species